rnacentral:rRNA from 1 species
CUCAAAGUGCUUUGCUUAGGUAAGGCUUUUGCCAAGUCAAAACAGCUUGGCGAAUAAGUGGUGGGUAAGACGGGUGCCAGCCGCCGCGGUAACACCUGCGCCACAAGUGGCAACCAUGAUUAUUGGGCCUAAAGCGUCCGUAGCCGGUCUUAUAAGUCUUCUGUGAAAUUGUUAAGCUCAACUUAACAGCGUGCAGGAGAUACUGUAAAACUAGGAACUGGGGGGAGUCAGAAGAAUUUCUGGGGGAGCGGUAAAAUGUUAUAAUCCCAGAAAGACUACCAGUGGCGAAAGCGUCUGACUAAUACAGGUUCGACGGUGAGGGACGAAAGCCAGGGGAGCAAUCCGGAUUAGAUACCCGAGUAGUCCUGGCUGUAAACUCUGCGAGCUAGGUGUUGCAUAUUCUUCGUGAAUAUGCAGUGUCGAAGCGAAGGUGUUAAGCUCGCCGCCUGGGAAGUAUGGUC